CAGGGAGUCAAUACCAUCAGCUGCCUCUGCAUUUUCCGUUGGGGUGGAAAUCCGGCUGGUUUCUAUACAUUUCAUCUCCCUCCUGGAGGACAAAAGGCCUCGUGAUCCCGUUUGUUCCCUGGUGGCCUUGUCCAUUGUCGAGUCGUGGAAAAUGUUCCGAGAAAGGAAUGAAAUUAGAAAGCGAGGUGGGGGGGAAGAUGGAGGACGAGCUGAAAUGUACAUUUCUCGUCUACAGCCGGAAGUCUGAAAUAUGAAAUGAUCGGUUUGGAUUCAAAAUUAAAAUGCGCAGGCAGCCGACAUAGAUGAGUUAAAAGCGGCGUAAUAUGAUCACAGGAUGUGCUGUUAGCCUCCCUCAAUAACCUGGCGGCAGAGGGGCCUUUGCGUGCCUGUGCCAAGUCAGCACUGCACACACCGCAGUUGCAUGAGACAAUCAUGGUUUCCAAUCUAAAUGAAAUGUUGCUAUUAUGGAACCAGCGAAUCGAUGAAAAUGCUGCACGGCUCUCAAUUUCUCAUCUGGGAUGUGUGUUUGUGUCCGCGAGACUCCAGGCAUGCGGGGACCACGUGUCUCAGUUACACCCUCCUGGGAGCGAUGUCCCUCCUGCAGCAUCAUCUUUUCAUUUGACAGUCAUUACUCUCUGUCACCGGCGAUAUGAGAAGCGAAGCCGGUGCGGCGAGAGCUCUCUCUCUCUCUCUCUGUUUGCGCCUGCCGACAUCACAGAUCAACAGCCGUUUUCGACACGACAAGCUGAGGAGGCCCAAAUCUCUAACAUAUCAACGUGAUGCAAUUAUUCAUCAUUUUACCUGAGGGAGCUCCUCCGCCCUUUGUUAAACACAACAGAUAUUGGGGAGUGUAAAAUUACAGAGGAAGCGGCUGCUGUUAUUUGGCAGUGACAGAAUGAAGCGAUUUGUCUGGGGGAGGUGUGAAUCCAACUGGGUGCCGAGAUUAAUAGUCAUGUGAUGAGAUAGCAGAGUAGUACGCACUGCUUUGUUGUUAAAGGCCAGAGAGGAAUUCUGUCAGAGCCUAUUUAAUGAACCAGACCACAGUGAGCAGCACUGUGCAUGGCGCUCUGAUGAAAACACCCCAAUACAAGGAGACAUGUCACCAUUUGAAUUAUGAACGAUAUCUUCUCACGUCGCAUGUUCAUACACAAUGCAAUCUCUGUUAAUAUUUUAGACAUUGGUCUAGCAGAACGCUUUUUCUUUCAAUGGUUUUUUGGGGCUUUCUGGGUUUCAUUCAACAUGAAUCAAUUCGUCGCUGUUCAGUGAACUGCAUUUCCUUCAUCAUUUGUGAGAAGAGUAUCAGGAGAGAUGAGAAGAAAGGAGGCUGACAACAGCCAGAUUGAUACCAGGAUGUCACAAUGACAUUGUUCUGCGGGUCUUACACCGCCGGGCCACCUGGAUAUUUCAUUGGCUGUUUGCUAAACCCAUCUCCCGAUCAGACACAAUCCAGUCAUACCUUCGAAACUUGAAGUAGGCACUACUAUACUUAUCCUACAACCCUCUCAAACUUCCUGGGAGACUCAUGUUUAUUUAGGCCUCUUCCUGUCUCCUUCCAUGGCCACAAUUCUCCUGAUCUACAUAUUUUCACAAUUUUCCCUUUUGGUUACCAAAACCCAGUCCUGGCACUGUACAGCGUGUAGUUUACUCUACUGUCGCGCCUCUUCAUCCUCAGUGAGUAGGAUGCAGACAGAGGAAUGGAGAAGAGAAAAGCAUUUCUAAACUCUUUGAAAUAAGAAUUCCCGGGGUCUGCAUUUUUUAAAAAUCCGCUGCACCCAUUUUUCUGUUCGCUGCAGGCGUUACACCAAUAUCAAUGACCAUCGGAAGGCUGACAAACGGGUAGUGUUUAACAUAAAAAUGACAUGACUUCACGAUUGAGGCAUGACUUGAC